rnacentral:rRNA from 1 species
UGGGGAAUUUUGGACAAUGGGGGAAACCCUGAUCCAGCCAUCCCGCGUGUGCGAUGAAGGCCUUCGGGUUGUAAAGCACUUUUGGCAGGAAAGAAACGUCAUGGGUUAAUACCCCGUGAAACUGACGGUACCUGCAGAAUAAGCACCGGCUAACUACGUGCCAGCAGCCGCGGUAAUACGUAGGGUGCAAGCGUUAAUCGGAAUUACUGGGCGUAAAGCGUGCGCAGGCGGUUCGGAAAGAAAGAUGUGAAAUCCCAGGGCUCAACUUUGGAACUGCAUUUUUAACUACCGGGCUAGGGAGUGUCAGAGGGAGGUGAAAUUCCGCGUGUAGCAGGGAAAUGCGUAGAUAUGCGGAGGAACACCGAUGGCGAAGGCAGCCUCCUGGGAUAACACUGACGCUCAUGCACGAAAGCGUGGGGAGCAAACAGG